AUUGAACGCUGGCGGCAGACUUAACACGUGCAAGUCGAGCGGAGAUGAGGUGCUUGCAUCUUAUCUUAGCGGCGGACGGGUGAGUAAUGCUUAGGAAUCUGCCUAUUAGUGGGGGACAACAUUCCGAAAGGAAUGCUAAUACCGCAUACGUCCUACGGGAGAAAGCAGGGGAUCUUCGGACCUUGCGCUAAUAGAUGAGCCUAAGUCGGAUUAGCGAGUUGGUGGGGUAAAGGCCUACCAAGGCGACGAUCUGUAGCGGGUCUGAGAGGAUGAUCCGCCACACUGGGACUGAGACACGGCCCAGACUCCUACGGGAGGCAGCAGUGGGGAAUAUUGGACAAUGGGGGGAACCCUGAUCCAGCCAUGCCGCGUGUGUGAAGAAGGCCUUAUGGUUGUAAAGCACUUUAAGCGAGGAGGAGGCUACUGAGACUAAUACUCUUGGAUAGUGGACGUUACUCGCAGAAUAAGCACCGGCUAACUCUGUGCCAGCAGCCGCAGUAAUAC
rnacentral:rRNA from 1 species